CUCCCUCCCCAACUCUCCAGUCUGUCCAGGUCUUGUUGAAUGCUAGCACAGCCU
rnacentral:miRNA from 7 species